rnacentral:lncRNA from 1 species
GAAUUUAAGCAUCAUCACAUUGAAGACAGUGUAAAUUACAUUUAGCCCAAAUGGCGAUUUUGUUAUUUAACUGAAGUAAUUAAAAAAGUAACAAUUUAUUUUUUCUCUGAUGAUUGGACUAUGUCAUAAACACUGAAUUUGUUUUUGUGAUUUGUUGUUGUUAAAAUGUUGUUCCUUAUUUGACUCCUGCAACUUUUUCUGUUCUGGAUACAAGUGUGCAUGGUUAUAAUCAUGUAAGUUGAGUUUCAUUUCUUUUUUUCAUUUAUAUUAAACUCAUUACAAGUUUUCCAUGCCGGUGUAAGCCUUGUAUACAUGAUUUAAGAUGAUUUUAAGCCAUGUAUACAGAUUAUUGCUUAGUGAACAGUUUCAGUUUAUUGAUUAUAGCCCUAGAUUUUACUGUCAUGUAAUAACAAUGGCCGGUUUUCAAUAGCAUAAAUAUCCUCUUUUAUUAAUAUUUUAUUAUUAUCAUGAUGAUUUUUUGUGAUUUUUACAAGAAAUAUGAGUUUUUUUUACAUCUUUUGUUUGAGACAUAAUUAUCUCCAAAUUUGCAGCUACUUCUGCACUUUGCAUGGUGACUUGAAAGUUCAUAAUCUGGUGACUUGAAAGUUCAAAAAAAUCAAUCCGGUAAUAAUUUUAAGAAAGGAUUGCAAUAUUUACAUGCAUGUCUUGAAUGUAUGAAAAAGUUGUAUUACACACCAUCAAUGUAAGGCACUAAUGCAAUUAAUUGAUUAACAGACCUUAAAGUUCAACGCAACGAAGGUUGUUUCGCGACUCCGCGGAGGAUUGCACUUCAAGGAAAGGGUCAAACAUUACCUUUUCUAUCUAUCUCAGAUGGAUCGGAUUCACGCAACAUCUCCUCUGCGCUUCGACAAUCAACGAGCUCAGACAAAACCAAUGGUGAAUUGCUUUUAUUCUUCUGGAAAGUGGCCCCACUGCGACAACGAAU